rnacentral:sRNA from 1 species
GCUGGGUGUGGUGGUGCACACCUGUAAUCCCAGCAGCUUGGGAGGCUGAGGCAGGAGGAUUGUGAGUUCAAAGUCAGCUUCAG